UGGGGAAUAUUGGACAAUGGGCGAAAGCCUGAUCCAGCCAUGCCGCGUGUGUGAAGAAGGUCUUCGGAUUGUAAAGCACUUUAAGUUGGGAGGAAGGGCAGUAAGCGAAUACCUUGCUGUUUUGACGUUACCGACAGAAUAAGCACCGGCUAACUCUGUGCCAGCAGCAUCGGUAAUACAGAGGGUGCAAGCGUUAAUCGGAAUUACUGGGCGUAAAGCGCGCGUAGGUGGUUCGUUAAGUUGAAUGUGAGAGCCCCGGGCUCAACAUGGGAACUGCAUUCAAAACUGGCGAGCUAGAGUAGGGCAGAGGGUGGUGGAAUUUCCUGUGUAGCGGUGAAAUGCGUAGAUAUAGGAAAGAAAACAAGUAGCGAGGGCGACCACCUGGGCUCAUACUGACACUGAGGUGCGAAAGCGUGGGGAGCAAACAGG
rnacentral:rRNA from 1 species